rnacentral:lncRNA from 10 species
UCCGGAACCUGACCUGAGCUGGGGCCUGUGCUUCCAGCGGGUGGUGGGGGGCCUGGUGUGCUGGCAUCAAGUAAGCCGACUACCUCGGCAAAGGCUUAGGGACAAGAGACCAGCAGCCUGAACUGGCUGGGGCAUCCGGAAGGCUUAGAUCUUGUGGCCAAGAGUUCAGACCGUGGCGAAGUGGAGAGUGACAUGCAGUUGGAUGGCGGUGACUGCGUGGUCCUGCAACCCUGGUUCCAGUCUGGCAAGCAUUGUAGACCUGGCUGCUGAAGACUGACGGGGCCCAGGGUCCGCUGCCCCCACCGCCAUCACCACCUCGGAACCCAGGGUAACGCUGUCAGUCUUUGGUAAGCCCAUGCUCUUCCUUUUAGAUCUGGGGACUAGUUACUCAGUUUUAUCAGAAUAUUCUUGACCCUCCUCAGUUCUUCUAUCUCUAUUGUGAGAGUCAAUGGAAUCCCCUCUAGGCACAUACUGGUCCCCUAUUAUGCAACCUAUUCAAUACCCCCUUCAUCCACUCCUUCUUAGUUAUCCCUUAGUGUCCUACCCCUAUCUUGGGGUGGAAUAUACUGAGUAAAUUCCAGGCCCCCAUAUGACUAGCCUCCUGCAAUUCUACCCCUUUUAUUUUACUCUGCUGUCCAGAUGCUUCCCUCUCCUCCCCCUCAUCUUUGCUAUCCACUCUGUUACCUUCUGUCAAUCCAGAAGUGUGGAACGUUUCUAAACCCACAAUAGCCACACAUCACAUCCCAGUCAAAAUAACCUUCCAAGACUCCUCCAUUUUCCUUCAUCAGCCUCAAUAUUCCCUUAGCCCAGCCAGCCUCAGGGGCCUCAAACCUAUUAUCUGUGAGUUUUUACAAGCUCAGAUUCUCAAACCUGUUAACUCUCCCCACAACACCCUUGUCCUGGCUGUCAAAAAAACAGACAGAUUUUACCACUUGGUCCAGGAUCUCCAUGUCAUUUACCAAGUGGAGGUACCAACCUAUCCAGUGGCCCCCAACCCCUAUACUCUACUCUCCCAUAUUCCCCCAUCUAGCACACACUUCUCUGUAUUGG